rnacentral:rRNA from 1 species
CCUACGGGUGGCAGCAGUAGGGAAUAUUGCUCAAUGGAGGGAACCCUGAAGCAGCAACGCCGCGUGGAGGAUGAAGGUUUUCGGAUUGUAAACUCCUUUUGUUAGAGAAGAUAAUGACGGUAUCUAACGAAUAAGCACCGGCUAACUCCGUGCCAGCAGCCGCGGUAAUACGGAGGGUGCAAGCGUUACUCGGAAUCACUGGGCGUAAAGAGGGCGUAGGCGGGAUAGCAAGUCAGAUGUGAAAUCCUAUGGCUUAACCAGAGAACUGCAUUUGAAACUGUUGUUCUAGAGAGUGGGAGAGGUAGGUGGAAUGCUUGGUGUAGGGGUAAAAUGCGUAGAGAUCAAGAGGAAUACUGAUUGCGAAGGCGACCUGCUAGAACAUAUCUGACGCUGAUGCGCGAAAGCGUGGGGAGCAAACAGGAUUAGAUACCCCUGUAGUC